UGAACCUGGUUGAUCCUGCCAGUAGUCAUACGCUCGUCUCAAAGAUUAAGCCAUGCAUGUGUAAGUAUCAGAAGUCUGAACUUCAAAACUGCGAAUGGCUCAUUAUAUCAGUUAUAGUUUAUUUGAUAGUACCUUACUACUUGGAUAACCGUAGUAAUUCUAGAGCUAAUACAUGCAUAAAUACCCAACUAUGC
rnacentral:rRNA from 1 species